rnacentral:rRNA from 1 species
UACAGAGGCCCCAAGCGUUACUGAGAAUCACUGGGUUUAAAGGGUGCGUAGGUGGCGCGUUAAGUCCGUUGUGAAAUCCCUUGGCUCAACCAAGGAAAUGCUUCGGAUACUGGCGUGCUUGAGGCCGGUAAGGGUCACUGGAACUGACGGUGGAGCGGUGAAAUGCGUAGAUAUUGGGAAGAACACCGGUGGCGAAGGCGGCGAGCUGGUCCAUUACUGACGCUGAGGCGCGACAGCGUGGGGAGCAAACAGG